rnacentral:snoRNA from 10 species
UGCACUUAUGUAUGUUUUUGUUUAACGUGGACAAAGACUUACAGAUAGGUGCAAAAAAUAAAUCCUCUUUUGCAACCCAGAACUCAUUGUUCAGUAUGAGUUUUGAUACAUAUAAGAAGGGAUAUU